GGUCCUGUAGUUCAAUGGAUAGAAUGGAGGUUUCCUAAACCUUAGAUCCGAGGUCGAAUCUCGGCGGGACUC
rnacentral:tRNA from 1 species